rnacentral:rRNA from 1 species
GACGAACGCUGGCGGCGUGCUUAACACAUGCAAGUCGAACGAUGAAGAAGAGAAACGCGAACUUCGGUUCAAAUUUCACUUCGGAUUAGUGGCAGACGGGUGAGUAACGCGUGAGCAACCUAUCUCUUACAAAGGGAUAGCCUCAGGAAACCGUGAUUAAUACCAUAUGACACAUUCAUAAGGCAUCUUAAGAAUGUUAAAGCUACGGCGGUAAGAGAUGGGCUCGCGUCCCAUUAGCUAGUUGGUGAGGUAACGGCCCACCAAGGCGACGAUGGGUAACCGGCCUGAGAGGGUGAACGGUCACAUUGGAACUGAGACACGGUCCAAACUCCUACGGGAGGCAGCAGUGGGGAAUAUUGCACAAUGGAGGGAACCCUGAUGCAGCGACGCCGCGUGAGCGAUGAAGGAAUUCGUUUCGUAAAGCUCUGUUCUAUGGGAAGAAAAGGACUGUACCAUAGGAGAAAGCCCCGGCUAAAUACGUG